GAUGAACGCUAGCGGCAGGCUUAACACAUGCAAGUCGAGGGGCAGCACUAGGUAGCAAUACUGAGGUGGCGACCGGCGCACGGGUGCGUAACGCGUAUCCAACCUUCCCGAUACUCUUGGAUAGCCUUCCGAAAGGGAGAUUAAUACAAGAUGGUGUUUCAAUUCCGCAUGUUAUUGAAACUAAAGAUUUAUCGGUAACGGAUGGGGAUGCGUGACAUUAGGUAGAUGGCGGGGUAACGGCCCACCAUGCCUACGAUGUCUAGGGGUUCUGAGAGGAAGGUCCCCCACACUGGAACUGAGACACGGUCCAGACUCCUACGGGAGGCAGCAGUGAGGAAUAUUGGUCAAUGGUCGGAAGACUGAACCAGCCAAGUAGCGUGAAGGAUGAAGGUUCUAUGGAUUGUAAACUUCUUUUAUACGGGAAUAAAACCACCUACGUGUAGGUGCUUGUAUGUACCGUAUGAAUAAGCAUCGGCUAACUCCGUG
rnacentral:rRNA from 1 species